CACAUAACUACACCCAGAAGCGCGCUCGCAAACACACACACACACACACACAAACACGAACACCGUCAAUCCUACAUAAACUAAUGAGGAGCCCAAGUUUCUGUCUCUACAACAGGGACAACUGGAUAGUGAUGGCUACAUCUCAGGAUGAGCCCGCAUAUGGGAAACAUCGAGUUUUGGGGUCGUGAGUCUUCCGAACCUCUGGAGGGACUGUCUGAGUGUUUGUGUUCAUGAUAGAUGACAUUCAGUGUGUAUUUCUGAAUAUGACCUACCGACGUGUAGGUUUGCGUGUGAGGUUAUUGCAGGGGACUCGGUUUCGUAUUUCUCUUGGGGUGUGUUUCAUUCGUCAGUGUUUGGUCGGCAUGAGAAGGUGAAAUUUGGCUCAUGUGGGACAUCCGUGGAUCAUUCUCGCCACCUUGAAUAGUGGAAACUGGAAUGCAUUUGGAAGAUAAGAACGGUGCUCUUCUUUCUUACCCGGGCUCGCCGUUUUUGCAUUGGUUCCUGAAUGGACCUCAGAGGCGCCCUGGGACUUGUGCUCUUGCUGGAACCCACAUAACGCCGGAAACAGACAGACCGACUUGCCUGUUUCACGGUGCCCACUUCCCAUGAGUGGAAACGGAAAAUUUUCCCACUGGCAUGUAAGUCAUCUGGAACGAAGCUGUAUUGAUAAUAAAGGAAAGCAAACACAGGAGUGUGUGUAUUCAACUGAAAUAAAUUCAGAAAGCCCUGAACUAAAUCUCAUUUGGUGUGUUUAAAAAUGGCAUUUGGGGAAUUUCUGGGUCAUUCGUCCAGCUGCGAAAGCUGCGUCUCUGAAGCACAGUCCCUGUCCUGCAGUCAGACUUAUUUAUCCGACGUGGUGUUUCCGUGGAAAUGAUUGUGGGAAAUGGCCCCUUCCUUUUCUCUAUUUGCUGAUUAGAUUUCAUGGUCCCUUUCUCGUCAGGUACAGUGAUC
rnacentral:lncRNA from 1 species